rnacentral:rRNA from 1 species
CAGGGAUUGCCCUAGUAACGGCGAGUGAAGCGGCAACAGCUCAAAUUUGAAAUCUGGCCUCGGGCCCGAGUUGUAAUUUGUAGAGGAUGCUUUGGGCGUCGGCGCCUCCAGAGUUCCCUGGAAUGGGACGCCAUAGAGGGUGAGAGCCCCGUACGGUGGGAUGCCUAGCCUCUGUAAAGCUCCUUCGACGAGUCGAGUAGUUUGGGAAUGCUGCUCAAAAUGGGAGGUAAAUUUCUUCUAAAGCUAAAUACCGGCCAGAGACCGAUAGCGCACAAGUAGAGUGAUCGAAAGAUGAAAAGCACUUUGAAAAGAGGGUCAAAAAGUACGUGAAAUUGUUGAAAGGGAAGCGCUUGCGACCAGACUUGUGCCCAGUGAAUCAUCCGGCGUUUUCGCCGGUGCGCUUCACUGGGUUCAGGCCAGCAUCGGUUCUCUCAGGGCGUUAAAAACAGCGGGAAUGUGGCUCUUCAGGGAGUGUUAUAGCCCGCUGUAAAAUAUCCUUGGGGGGAUCGAGGACCGCGCUUCGGCACGGAUGCUGGCGUAAUGGUCAUCAGCGACCCGUCUUGAAACACGGAAGGGCGAAUUCGUUUAAACCUGCAGGACUAGUCCCUUUAGUGAGGGUUAAUUCUGAGCUUGGCGUAAUCAUGGUCAUAGCUGUUUCCUGUGUGAAAUUGUUAUCCGCUCACAAUUCCACACAACAUACGAGCCGGAAGCAUAAAGUGUAAAGCCUGGGGUGCCUAAUGAGUGAGCUAACUCACAUUAAUUGCGUUGCGCUCACUGCCCGCUUUCCAGUCGGGAAACCUGUCGUGCCAGCUGCAUUAAUGAAUCGGCCAACGCGCGGGGAGAGGCGGUUUGCGUAUUGGGCGCUCUUCCGCUUCCUCGCUCACUGACUCGCUGCGCUCGGUCGUUCGGCUGCGGCGAGCGGUAUCAGCUCA